rnacentral:lncRNA from 1 species
GGUUAAGAUUACUGUAUAUUAAAAAGCUUUCGGCAAAUCAUAAAAAUAAAAGCAUUUAUAGUAUUGAUUGAUGAACAGAUAGUUGGUUUGUGUCCAGAGGCGAGACCGAUGCAUAUUAUAGACAAAAAAUGAGAAAUGUGUUCUGAUCCUCCUUUAUACUAGACCGACAUACCGAUUCGAAUUUUGAACGUGCAAGAACACAAGGAAACAGUUUGUCUUACAAACACAUUGAUCUAGGCAAACCAAUCU